UAAUAUCAUCUAGCCCUUUGAUUAAUCAAAUUAAAUAUAAUUAAAAUAUAUAAUAUUUGUUAGUUAAAUUUUAAACUAAAAAAACAAAAAUGUAAAAGGUAAAAACAAGGUUUACCUUAAUUUUUGUUUCUUUUCUCGUCUUCUUCUUAGCUAAAGUUUUUCUGGUGAUUUCACAUUUGUUAAGAAUCUUAGCAUGUUCCUAGCUGUUUCUCUACCAUAUUCCGUCUCUAUUUUUUUUUCGCUC
rnacentral:lncRNA from 1 species